AACGAACGCUGGCGGCAUGCCUAACACAUGCAAGUCGAACGAGACCUUCGGGUCUAGUGGCGCACGGGUGCGUAACGCGUGGGAACCUGCCCUUAGGUUCGGAAUAACUCCCCGAAAGGGGUGCUAAUACCGGAUAAUGUCUUCGGACCAAAGGUUGAACGCCUUUGGAUGGGCCCGCGUUGGAUUAGCUAGUUGGUAGGGUAAAAGGCUACAAAGGCGACGAUCCAUAGCUGGUCUGAGAGGAUGGGCAGCCACACUGGGACUGAGACACGGCCCAGACUCCUACGGGAGGCAGCAGAGGGGAAUAUUGGACAAUGGGCGAAAGCCUGAUCCAGCUAGGCCGCGUGAGUGAUGAAGGCCUUAGGGUUGUAAAGCUCUUUUACCCGGGAUGAUAAUGACAGUACCGGGAGAAUAAGCUCCGGCUAACUCCGUG
rnacentral:rRNA from 1 species